rnacentral:rRNA from 1 species
UAUCUCUGUAGAGUCUGCAUAUCAAUAAGCGGAGGAAAAGAAACUAACUAGGAUUCCCUUCAGUAACGGCGAGUGAAGCGGGAAGAGCUCAAAUUUGAAAUCUUCAAGGUUCUACCUUGACGAAUUGUAGUUUAAAGAAGUGUUUUCUGUUAGAUGAGGUGGCUAAAAGUUCUUUGGAAUAGGACAUCAUAGAGGGUGAGAAUCCCGUAUUUGGUCAUUCCUUCCUAGCGUUGUGAUACACUUUCAAAGAGUCGGAUUGUUUGGGAAUGCAGUCCAAAAUGGGUGGUAAAUUUCAUCUAAAGCUAAAUAUUGGCGAGAGACCGAUAGCGAACAAGUACCGUGAGGGAAAGAUGAAAGGAACUUUGAAAAGAGAGUUAAACAGUACGUGAAAUUGUCAAAAGGGAAGCGUUUGACACCAGUGUUGUUUUUCCGAAAAUCAAUUAAGAAUGUUUUAUUUUUGAGGAGUUAUGACUUCAUCGGCUUGCUCCUUUCUUUAUGAAACUUUCUUAAUGCACUUUUCGGUUAACAAGUCAACAUCAAUUUCUUUUGUUGUAAAAGAGUAUGAGGAAGGUGGCUUUCUUUUCGGAGAAAGUGUUUAUAGCCUUGUACUUCUGCAAUCGGAGAGAUUGAGGUCUGCAGCGUAGAUCCUUCGGGGUUAGAUACAUUUGUGCUAAGUUAUAGCUUUUCAUAGACAACUUGUUGAUUAUGUUAAGUCUUGUAGCUUACUCGCUUAUGCUAUUUUACCUACGCUUAGGAUGUUGAGUAGCGACAUACGCAC